rnacentral:tRNA from 1 species
CGGGGCGUAGCGCAGAUGGUAAGCGCGCCUGCCUUGGGAGCAGGAGGUCGCUGGUUCGAGUCCAGUCGCCCCGACCA